CGUACAUACACGCCCCUUCGUCACGGAGAGCAGGAAAGAGUCGCGGUCAAUGGCUGCGGUAUCCGCAGGUUCAAGGAAAGCGGGCUGGUCCGAUUCGACACCGUGUUGUUCCAAGGAAACUUGAACAGGUGACGGUGGCUCGUGAAAAUGCAGAUUUCAAAUAAAAUUGUAUGCUAAUAGAAUGCAGUUGCAGUGACAAGCAAUAAUCAAGACCAAAAUAUGUUAAAAGAUAGAUGUUCAAUCAUUUAACUGGAAGAAAGAGCAGAUUAUUUUCAAUACGAUAA
rnacentral:lncRNA from 1 species